GCCCCUCCACGGCUGGCACCUGGAACCUACGACUAUAGGAACUGCUGCAAGGAAGGGGUGACAAUUUACUGAAUUCAUUUUGUUCCUGCUUGGGUUUUUCUAUAAAGGGAUGUCUGUUCAGCUGGGGCCCAGGGCCGAAAACAUCUGAAAGCAGGUCUGCUCCGAUUAAACUCAAUGCUUUUAAAACUUCAACAAAGCAACGCGGACCACUUGCCACGUCGCCUGCACCUCUCAGGCUUGGCUGCGCCCCAGAGAGUCGGUCCUCGGAAGCCAGGCAAUGGUGGUGCAUGCCUUGGAUCCCAGCAUUCUGCAGUGGAAUCUGAUGCCCUCUUCUGGUGUGUCUGAAGACAGCUACAGUGUACACAUAUACAUAAAAUAAAUAAAUCUUUUAAAAACAAAAUCAGGAGCUGGAGAGAUGGCUCAGUGGUUAAGAGCACUGACUGCUCUUCCAGAGGUGCUGAGUUCAAUUCCCAGCAACCACAUGGUGGCUCACAGCCCUCUGUAAUGAGAUCUGAUGCCCUCUUCUGGUGUAUCUGAAGAUAGCUACAGUGUGUUCAUAUAUAAUAAAUAAAAACAAAACCAGUCACAAA